rnacentral:rRNA from 1 species
UUCCAGACUCCUACGGGAGGCAGCAGUCGGGAAUAUUGCGCAAUGGAGGAAACUCUGACGCAGUGACGCCGCGUAUAGGAAGAAGGUUUUCGGAUUGUAAACUAUUGUCGUUAGGGAAGAUACAAGACAGUACCUAAGGAGGAAGCCCCGGCUAACUACGUGCCAGCAGCCGCGGUAAUACGUAGGGGGCGAGCGUUAUCCGGAUUCACUGGGUGUAAAGGGAGCGUAGACGGCCAUGCAAGCCAGGGGUGAAAGCCCGGGGCCCAACCCCGGGACUGCCCUUGGAACUGCAUGGCUGGAGUGCGGGAGGGGCAGGCGGAAUUCCUGGUGUAGCGGUGAAAUGCGUAGAUAUCAGGAGGAACACCAGUGGCGAAGGCGGCCUGCUGGACUGCAACUGACGUUGAGGCUCGAAGGCGUGGGGAGCAAACAGGAUUAGAUACCCUGGUAAA